CCUAACUGUACCACUAACCCUACCACUACACCUAACCGUACUACAAACCCUACCACUAUACCUAACUGUACCACUAACCCUACUACUACACCUAACCAUACCACUAACCCUACCACUAUACCUAACUGUACCACUAACCCUACUACUACACCUAACCAUACCACUAACCCUACUACUACACCUAACUGUACCACUAACCCUACCACUACACCUAACCGUACCACUAACCCGACCACUAUACCUAACCCUACCAUUACACCUAAUCCUACCACUACACCUAAUCCUACUAUGAAC